UGGGAGUAAGAGUUACUUCAGAUCUGCGGGGCAGGGUCUCCAGGUUAACUUCUCUACUUGGAACUACCACGUACACCAGCAGAAGGACAACAGUACUUAAAAUUGCUGGUAUUUUACUAAUCUCUGUGGGACUGAGGGAGAGAAAGCCUUAAAGAAGUCUGUGUGCAGCUUGAAGACAACUAUUUCUCUGACUUGCAUGUUUUCCCCAAGCACCUGACACUGACCUUCUGGGCUUGGCUCCCACCUCCUGUAACUUCUUCUUUCUGCAACUCCUGCAUUCAUUUACAGGGGGCAUGUGUAAUGCAGAACACUGUUACAGAAAACACAUGAAGUUCUUGGUUUGGUCUCUGCGUUAAAACAACACGAACUGCAGUGCUGACUCAUGGACACCUGUGACGUUGUUUGUGGCAGCAACAGAUAUUUGAGGAUACGCUUUCCAAGACAUGUUUUGUACCGGUGCGACUGGCAUUGCACCCUCCACGGGUGUAAUUCAUUCCAGUGAAAGCUCUGCAGCUUUGCAAAUCAGAGCAUCGUUCCUUAGGAACCGGGUUAUAUGGCUGGAGCUUUUCUCUUACAGUACUUUUUACUAACAGUAACAGCAUACUUACCUAAAACAUGUGGUGUGCUACCGUCAAAACCUAAAGGAAUACAUCCUGUUUAAAAGUUAGCUUUUCAAAUGCCCACAACUAAAUCUGUAUGAGGAAUCAUUUCCAGGCAAAUAGAGAGUCUUUAAUUUAUUUAUUUUUUUUUAAGGAAAAACAUAUCCCCAGUGGUUUGGGUGAGAAGAAAGUUAACAUCAGCCCUAAAACAUAUGAAACAAAAAGGAAAGUCUAACAUCUUUCCACUUGAAAAUGGUGAGCUUUCUUGUUGUCAUUUGGCUGAUUGCCAAGCUUUACCAGCUGGGUGCUACAGGGUAACAGGGAGCAUGGCAACACAGACUUGCAGGUCUCUCAUCAGCCACGCUAUUCACUAUGCUUAGUUUAAAAAAAAAAAAAAUGUGUUUGACUUCUGUAUAAAAAUGAAAGUGCUGUGCAUAUAAAACUAUCUUUAAAAUGCCCUGCUAAUAAAGAAUUUGGUAGUGCAAGAUUAGCCAUGUGAGAAUGUAAAUUGUGUGAGUUAAAUGUCAGAUGAUUUUGGGGGGAGAGAGGCUUUUACCCCAGUGAAUGUUAAGAACUGUACUUGAGUUUGACAUAGGAUAGCUUCAGUUAUUCUAUGAUUUUAGCUUCCAUUAAUCACCACAAAACCCUCCACCUCAGUUGUCAGCAUAAAGCCUCUCUUAACAUCCAGAGAACUUUCUUCCCACGUUCUGCAGUUGGUGAGAUAUUGUGCUAAUAAAUGCAGCGAGGAGCUAGACUCUGUGUCCUCAGAUGCCCUUCCAUUUAUCCAAUCCGGCAUCUGCCUACUUGAACAAGUGCAUCAGAUACAGGCAGCUUGCCAGCUAUUAAAAUGUUACACCUACCGCCAUGAAGCUAAAUUGUACAUUUUGUUUUCCCUUGUCCUUGAAAAGGGCUCGCUCCUGAAGUAAGAGGAAUGUGCUUAAUG